UACGUAGGGGGCAAGCGUUGUCCGGAUUUAUUGGGCGUAAAGAGCGUGUAGGCGGCCAGGUAGGUCUGCUGUGAAAACUCGAGGCUUAACCUCGAGCUGACGGCGGAAACCAUCUGGCUAGAGUCCGGAAGAGGAGAAUGGAAUUCCCGGUGUAGCGGUGAAAUGCGCAGAUAUCGGGAAGAACACCCGUGGCGAAGGCGGUUCUCUGGGACGGUACUGACGCUGAGACGCGAAAGCGUGGGGAGCGAACAGG
rnacentral:rRNA from 1 species